rnacentral:rRNA from 1 species
GACAGAGGUGCCGAGCGUUAGGCGGAAUCACUGGGCUUAAAGCGUGUGUAGGCGGGCGGGCAAGUACCUUGUGAAAUCCCACGGCUCAACCGUGGAACGGCUGGGUAUACUGCCUGUCUUGAGCCAACUAGGGGCGAGCGGAACAGACGGUGGAGCGGUGAAAUGCGUAGAUAUCACUUGGAACGCCAAUGGUGAAAACAGCUCGCUGGGGGUGUGCUGACGCUGAGACACGAAAGCCAGGGGAGCAAACGGG